rnacentral:rRNA from 1 species
UACAGAGGUCUCAAGCGUUGUUCGGAUUCAUUGGGCGUAAAGGGUGCGUAGGCGGCGCGGUAAGUCGGGUGUGAAAUCUCGGAGCUUAACUCCGAAACUGCAUUCGAUACUGCCGUGCUUGAGGACUGGAGAGGAGACUGGAAUUUACGGUGUAGCGGUGAAAUGCGUAGAUAUCCUGAGGAACACCGGUGGCGAAGGCGGUUCUCUGGGCCUGACCUGACGCUGAGGAGCGAAAGCGUGGGGAGCGAACAGG